rnacentral:lncRNA from 1 species
GAUAGUAUUUUGUUUAUUCUUUAAACAAACAACUACAACUCGUCUUCGCCUUUACCAAAUGCGUAUUAUAAGAUAAAAAGUUCAAGGCAAUAACCCCCAGAUCAAGUAAGUACAGCAGUGUUGCUGUACAGAUAGUUUUCUGUUUAUUCUUCAAAUAUGCUUCUGUACAACCAUUCUGCUGUACAGAUAUCGUUCCGUACAGCCAUCUUACUGUACAACUAGUACUCUGUUUUAAGUUGUCUGUACAGCAACAUGGAUGUACAGAUGUAUAUCCGUACAGCCGUGUUGCUGUACAGAUAGUAUUCUGUUUACGGUGGUUGUACAGACUUUAAUUUCUAUAAACUUUUGCAAAUCAUAAUUGAUAUAUAACAUUUUUGUGGAUAACUAAAUAUGUUAAUAAAUCAGGAGAUCGUUCCAUACAGCUAUCUUGCUGUACAACUAGUACUCUGUUUUAACUCGUCUUCGCCUUUACCAAAUGCGUAUUAUAAGAUAAACAGUUCAAGGCAAUAACCCCCAGAUCAUUCCGUACAUCAGUGUGCUGUACAGAUAUUAUUCUGUUUAAGUUGUCUGUACAAACAUGUUGCUGUACAGCUAUAAUUCCAUACAUCAAUGUUGCUGUACAGAUAGUAUUCUGUUUAUUCUUCAAAUAUGCUUCUGUACAACCAUUCUGCUGUACAG